rnacentral:rRNA from 1 species
CGGAGGGUGCAAGCGUUAUCCGGAUUUACUGGGUUUAAAGGGUGUGUAGGCGGGCUAUUAAGUCAGUGGUGAAAUCUCCGAGCUUAACUUGGAAACUGCCAUUGAUACUAUUAGUCUUGAAUAUUGUUGAGGUAGGCGGAAUAAGUCAUGUAGCGGUGAAAUGCAUAGAUAUGACUUAGAACACCAAUUGCGAAGGCAGCUUGCUAAACAAUUAUUGACGCUGAGGCACGAAAGCGUGGGGAUCAAACAGGAUUAGAUACCCUGGUAGUCCACGCCCUAAACGAUGAUUACUCGACAUACGCGAUACACAGUGUGUGUCUGAGCGAAAGCAUUAAGUAAUCCACCUGGGAAGUACGACCGCAAGGUUG